CCCAAUGACGUCUCUAGAAGACAUCUGAAGGAGAUUAAAGAUUUAUCGGUGAUGGAUGGGGAUGCGUCUGAUUAGCUUGUUGGCGGGGUAACGGCCCACCAAGGUUACGAUCAGUAGGGGUUCUGAGAGGAAGGUCCCCCACAUUGGAACUGAGACACGGUCCAAACUCCUACGGGAGGCAGCAGUGAGGAAUAUUGGUCAAUGGGCGAGAGCCUGAACCAGCCAAGUAGCGUGCAGGAAGACGGCCCUAUGGGUUGUAAACUGCUUUUAUAAGGGAAUAAAGUGAGUCUCGUGAGACUUUUUGCAUGUACCUUAUGAAUAAGGACCGGCUAAUUCCGUGCCAGCAGCCGCGGUAAUACGGAAGGUUCGGGCGUUAUCCGGAUUUAUUGGGUUUAAAGGGAGCGUAGGCCGGAGAUUAAGCGUGUUGUGAAAUGUAGACGCUCAACGUCUGCACUGCAGCGCGAACUGGUUUCCUUGAGUACGCACAAAGUGGGCGGAAUUCGUGGUGUAGCGGUGAAAUGCUUAGAUAUCACGAAGAACUCCGAUUGCGAAGGCAGCUCACUGGAGCGCAACUGACGCUGAAGCUCGAAAGUGCGGGUAUCGAACAGGAUUAGAUACCCUGGUAGUCCGCACGGUAAACGAUGGAUGCCCGCUGUUGGUCUGAAUAGGUCAGCGGCCAAGCGAAAGCAUUAAGCAUCCCACCUGGGGAGUAC
rnacentral:rRNA from 1 species